rnacentral:rRNA from 1 species
CAAUAGCGUAUAUUAAAGUUGUUGCGGUUAAAAAGCUCGUAGUUGGAUUUCUGCCGAGGACGACCGGUCCGCCCUCUGGGUGUGUAUCUGGUUUGGCCUGGGCAUCUUCUUGGAGAACGUAGCUGCACUUGACUGUGUGGUGCGGUGUCCAGGACUUUUACUUUGAGGAAAUUAGAGUGUUUCAAGCAGGCACACGCCUUGAAUACAUUAGCAUGGAAUAAUAAGAUAGGACCUCGGUUCUAUUUUGUUGGUUUCUAGAGCUGAGGUAAUGAUUAAUAGGGAUAGUUGGGGGCAUUCGUAUUUAACGGUCAGAGGUGAAAUUCUUGGAUUUGUUAAAGACGGACUACUGCGAAAGCAUUUGCCAAGGAUGUUUUCAUUGA